UUUUUAUUAGUAUACAUAGUAUGUCUAAUUUCCAAUUAGAAGGAUUCCAUUGAAAUAAAAAAUAAAUAAAA
rnacentral:tRNA from 1 species